AUGUGCUUCCUUUUCCCACUUCACAGUUCACGCUCUAGCCCCAGCCCCCGAUCUCCGGCAAUGUCGCUCCACCAGCGGCCGCACCAGAAGCCGCUGGGCGCCGACUCCCUCCCCGUCUCCACGACCCCCGCUAACGCCGCCCCUUCCCGCCCCCUGCCCCUCCUCACGCUCCCCUACCUCUUCUCCCUUCUCGCGCUCCUCCUCCUACUCGCCCUCCUCUUCCCCUGGGGGCCGCCCCGCCACUCCGCGCUGGCCUCCCCGUGGCGCUCCUACACGCUCCAAGACGCCGCCGCCUUCGCCGCGGCCUCCGGCAACGGCACCAUCAUCCUCGCCGCCGUCUCCGGGCCGUACCUCCCCUUCCUCUCCAACUGGCUCAUCAGCGUCCGCCGCGCCGGCCGCGCUAACCAGGUGCUCGUCAUCGCCGAGGACUACGAGACCCUCGAGCGCAUCAAUGCCGCAUGGCCCGGCCACGCCGUCCUCGUGCCCCCCGCGCCCGACGCCCAGGCCGCCCACAAGUUCGGGUCACAGGGCUUCUUUAACUUCACCUCGCGGCGGCCGCGACACCUGCUGCAGAUUCUCGAGCUGGGGUACAGCGUCAUGUACAAUGACGUCGACAUGGUGUGGCUUGCCGACCCGUUUCCAUACCUAGUCGGCAAUCACGACAUCUACUUCAUGGACGACAUGAGUGAAGUGAAGCCACUGAAUCAUUCACAUGCGCUGCCGCCGCCAGGUAAGAAGGGGCGGCCAUACAUUUGCAGCUGUAUGAUCUUCCUGCAGCCAACAGAAGGGGCAAAGCUGUUGAUGAGGAAGUGGAUUGAGGAGCUCAAGGAACAGCCCUGGUCGAGGAAAGCGAAAUCAAAUGAUCAGCCAGCAUUCAACUGGGCUUUACUAAAGACUACUGGGCAGGUGGAUGUGUAUUUACUACCUCAGUCUGCUUUUCCAACUGGAGGUCUAUAUUUCAAGAACAAAAAAUGGGUCAAGGAGACAAAGGGCAAGCAUGUCAUUAUACAUAACAACUACAUAACAGGGUUUGAAAAGAAGAUAAAACGCUUCCGUGAUCAUAAACUCUGGCUGGUGGAUGAGCACAGCGACGAGUCACCACUUGGUAAAAUAUGA
rnacentral:rRNA from 1 species